rnacentral:rRNA from 1 species
UGGGGAAUAUUGGACAAUGGGCGAAAGCCUGAUCCAGCGACGCCGCGUGUCGGAAGGAGUCCUUCGGGAUGUAAACGACUUUUGGUGGAGACGAAUAAGCAGCUCAGGGAAUGGGGCUGUGAUGACGGCAUCCAUGGAAUAAGCCCCGGCUAACUACGUGCCAGCAGCCGCGGUAAGACGUAGGGGGCAAGCGUUACCCGGAAUUACUGGGCGUAAAGGGAGCGUAGGCGGGAGGUCAAGUCCGGUGUGAAAGACCCUGGCUCAACCAGGGAUGAGGGCUGGAAACUGACAAUCUUGAGUACAGCAGAGGAAGAGGGAAUUACCGGUGUAGGGGUGAAAUCCGUAGAGACCGGUAAGAAGGCCAGUGGCGAAUGCGCUUUUCUGGGCUGUUACUGACGCUGAGGCUCGAAAGCCAGGGGAGCAAACCG